GAGAGAUGAAGUCAUCAGCCCACAUUCCCCAGUUUCUUCAUGUGUAAUGUGGGCAUAGCUGUGACGAUCACUUGGGACUGCUCUGUGGAGAUUUAAAAUGGAUCUGCACCCAUUUCAGGUGAUCUUCCAGGCACUGUACCCCCUCUCCAACCUUUCCAGAAAGGCAAGGUGACCAACCAGAGCCCCUUGGGCCCAAGGAGCAUUCCCAACCACCUGUAUCCAGCUGUGAGCUUCACCAUGAGGAAACUGAGGCUUACCCAAGAUAAAUGGGCAGAGGUGAAACAGCUAGCAAGUGGCAGAGCUGGGAUUUGAAGGCUGGGCUGUCCUAGAUGGGAGUCUGAACUUCCAGGCACUGCAUAUGCCCUGAACUACAGGCCCAUCUGGGGCGAAAGGGAAGGAGAGAGACGUUGAAGACUCUUACAGCAGCUGGAUCCGGCCCUGACUCUGGUCCAGUCCCACCCCUAGCCACUCUUGCUGCCAUCUGACACCUGUCUGCCAAGAUUUCCCCAGCUUUGAGCAACCUCCAGCCUAGGAGCAGAAUGAUCGGGAGCGGAAAGGCCAGGAGCAGAAGGGCCAGGGAGGGCCAGGAAGGGCCAGGACCAGGUAUUUUUAGCAGAGUUGCUGGCAGCUGUCUGGAGGGUGCUGGGAGGUGAGGCGGUGCUGAGUUCAUCCUUUCCCUUCUCUGGGCCUAUAUUCCCUCCCCCAAAACCAAGCAUGCACCCCUACCUGCAAUACACUGCCAGAACACCUCCCUUCCUUCACCCCCUCCCCCAGAAAGCUCUCCACGUGUCCCCAGAGGCUCCCAUGGUGACACUAACCCUCACCCUGAAGGACAGCCUCAUCAGGUAGAACCUUCAACUCCCCAGGGCAGGGAGGGGAAUAGGGAGGACUUGGCACCAAGGCCAGAAGCCCAGAUUUAGGACCCUUCAGUUCUAGCUCAUAUAUGGGCCUGUGGGGAGUGGGUGUCCUGAACAGAGAAGAAGGGUGAAGUCUGUCCAGCCUGUAUCCCUCGGCUUGCUUGGGCAACAGGCCAGGGCUGGGGGAGAGCAAAGGGAGAAUUCACUGUUAAAGGGCCAGAACUAAUUCUUCCCCAGAGAGGAGCUGGCACAGUUGGCUAGUCCGGCUUUCCCCCUUGACCCCACCCAGGAUGGUACCCCCAACUCCAAAUCCCUCCCCCACACCAUUCAACC